GUAGGGAAUAUUGGGCAAUGGAUGCAAGUCUGACCCAGCCAUCCCGCGUGCCGGAAGAAGGCCCUUAGGGUUGUAAACGGCUUUUGACGGUGAAGAAUCGACAGGAUGCGUCCUGUUUUGACGGUAGCCGUUGAAUAAACACCGGCUAACUCCGUGCCAGCAGCCGCGGUAAUACGGAGGGUGCGAGCGUUGUCCGGAUUUAUUGGGUUUAAAGGGUGCGUAGGCUGGAAGGUCAGUCAGCGGUGAAAAGCUGUCGCUUAACGAUAGUCUUGCCGCAGAUACUUCCUUUCUUGGAUGAGGAGGAGGCCACUGGAACGGAUGGUGUAGCGGUGAAAUGCAUAGAUAUCAUCCAGAACACCGAUUGCGAAGGCAGGUGGCUGUACCUUAAUCGACGCUGAUGCACGAAAGCAUGGGGAGCAAACAGGAUUAGAAACCCCUGUAGUCC
rnacentral:rRNA from 1 species